rnacentral:rRNA from 1 species
UACGUAGGGGGCAAGCGUUGUCCGGAUUUAUUGGGCGUAAAGAGCGUGUAGGCGGCCAUUCAGGUCAGCUGUGAAAACUCGAGGCUCAACCUCGAGACGUCGGUUGAAACCGUUUGGCUAGAGUCCGGAAGAGGAGAGUGGAAUUCCCGGUGUAGCGGUGAAAUGCGCAGAUAUCGGGAAGAACACCCGUGGCGAAGGCGGCUCUCUGGGACGGUACUGACGCUGAGACGCGGAAAGCGUGGGGAGCGAACAGG